UUAGUCAUUUACAGGUAUUUUUCUGUAUUUCUCAACUACUGCAAUGCAUUGUGGGAAAAAGAACCCAAAAAGGAGGGAAAAGUCAGAGCAAGAGCAGCCAUUAGACUUCUUUCAGGCUUCAUCUGGAUUUUGGACUCUGGAGUUGGAGAAACUGCCUUCAAAUUUCCGUGUGCAGAGCAAUGGCCAAGCAAAGGAAAGACUUCCCCGAGUGAAAAAGAAGAUGAAGAUACAAGCUGGUGAUGAUCCAGAGCAGCUGGUCUCAGGAAAUGAAGAAAAACCCUGAUCACCUUUUCCACAGAAACAAGAAUAAAUUACGACUAGUCUCAAUGGCUGAGAUGGAGGAGCAACACAGCGACACGUUAACCCGACUGCUGCAGUUCCUGUAUGAACUGAGCAACUCUAAAAAUCCAAGGAAAAGCUGAGUGUAUUUUAUUUAAAGCUCAGAUGGACCUUGAUGGACUAACAUGCAGGCUGCAUUCAGGACUUUGUCACACUGGUAUAUGAAGAGUGGUAACAAGAGAAAUUGUGCACACACAAUGUGUCACUUUAUGCUUGCUCUUCUCCAGCCUCUGGUGUCACUUUGUAGUAAUUAGUCUUACUAUUGUCUUAUGUGUUGUGAUUUAGGGUAUGUGCACACAAGCAGAGGUUUUUGUUUGUAACCGUAACCUCAUUUUCAGAGCCUUGUCUAACAUUUAAUGGUCGUGAAAUAUGUCAGACUUUUUCCUCUACUUAAACAGCUAAGAGCAUUUGAACACAGUGGAGAAAAAGGUGUGCAUUAAGGAUUUUGAACUAUGAUGUUUAAGUGUUGUCACUGCUGAGGAUUCGUGGACACAGAUCCUUAUUCACUACGCUGCUGUUUACAAUUUAACUUUUCAUCAGAACAAGCACUUCUAGUUGUACUUUGCUCCUCACUGACAAAACAAGUCCAGUAAAUGCACUUUUAUCUUCAACUUUGGGACAGUAAUCUGUCUUAAUUUAUUUUGUGCUUUAGUUAUCAUAUGUGGAAAAGUUCUGUGGUUAUCUAUCCGUCCUGUUUGUAUAAACCCAAAGUUCAGGAACAUCUUCUCUAGAUCUGUUCAGUUUUAUUCAUGUGGCACGACUUAAACAGUCAAGUAUGCUAUAUUGUAAGGUUAAGACCCCAAAGAGUUAAUCUCGGACAAAUGUUCACACAAAUAUGAAUUGCAUUCACUUCAUUAAUGAAGUAAAUGCAAUUCAGUAAUCAAAUGUGUUUGGCUAUAACGGACUACAUGUGUAUACUGUACCAUAAGUGGACAGACAUGGAUGUAAACCACACCUUAACCAUUUGGCUGAGGCAAAACUACCACAAGGCAGUGAUUCUAACUAAAAGGUACUCUGGAUAUAACAUAUCGUUAAAUAUGACUUAACUAUAUUUUUUGUUUGUCAGGUGUCCUGUUUGAAGAAAACACUUGGUAGCCACUUGAAUGAAUAUAAAUAAACACAUUUACAUGAGGGCAACCUGAUUUCAAGGAAAUAAAAAUGCUUAAAUUUGAAAGCUUGUAAGUUAUUUUGUUCAUGUAUCAGCUGUUUAGUCGUUUUAUGACAAGAUGGAUGCUGUCGUUAUAUUUUAGUAUGGUGUUUGAGUUAAGGAGAAUAAAAGAAUAUUUAACAUUAAUUGUACCAAUGUUGUUGUGUACGAAGCACAAAUUAAUUUAAAAAGUUUUAAUUUAUGAAUUUUUGAGCAUAUGGUGUACUAGGUUGUAACU